GCAGUGUGGGCAGUGUACCAAGUCCUGCUGGAAAAUGAAAUCUUUAUCCCCAUAAAAGUUGUCAGCAACAACACCAGGAGAUGACAUGGCUCUUCAAACCAUCAUUGAUCCCAUUUUCCAGAAGGACUUGGCACACUGCCAAAAGUAACAGUUGGUUUUAUAUAAUAUUCUAGUUUUCUGAGAUACUGAUUUUUGGGUUUUCAUUGGCUGUAAACCAUAAUCAUCAACAAUUAAAGAAAUAAAGACUUAAAAUAGAUCACUCUGUGUGUAAUACAUCUAUAUAAUAUAUAAGUUUCACAUUUUGAACUAAAAGUCACUUUUUAAUGAUAUUCAAACCCAGAAUGCUAGCAUUAUUCCCGGCCUGAACAACUGUCCCAUUCUGACCCUAAUUUAAACAAAGAACAAAAAAAACAAGGAAAUAACGAAUGGAAUUUAAUUUAAGCAGACAAACCUGUUUUUAGUGAACUACAGUCAUUGUUACUCUAAAAUACUUUCAGUUUAAGAAGAGACUCGUCGCCUCACCACAGAGAGCCAGCUGUCUAUUUAAAACUCCAGUAUCAAGAAAUAAAGGAAGAUUGAGGCCUGUUAGAGGAGAAACAGCUCUAUGACGAUGUCUCAUACCAACAGCAGUGGAGGGAGUGGCUCACAGGUGAAAAGAGCAGAUUCUCCAGAGCCCAGCUGUGUUUCUAUGAAGAGCGAGCAGUCCAUGCCGGAGCCUCUACAGUUCAGCAGAGGAG